UCCUAUAUGGUGUAGUGGUUAACAUUACCGCUUUUCAAAAAGAGCGACUUUAAAGAGCUGCUCUAACCUGAUCGCGGUAGCCCGGGGUUCGAUCCCCCGUAUGGGAA